rnacentral:snoRNA from 1 species
UAAUGUAAUGAUGAGAUUUUACCAUGCACCACUCAGAAUUAUCUACCCAAAGAUAAGUUGUGUUGAUUAUGGUGUCUGAACAUU